ACCUCAAAUCAGGUAAGAAUACCCGCUGAACUUAAGCAUAUCAAUAAGCGGAGGAAAAGAAAAUAACAAUGAUUCCCUCAGUAACGGCGAGCGAAGAGGGAUAAGCUCAAAUUUUAAAUCUGUUGGGUUUCACCUAACAGAGUUGUAUUUUGAAGAAACGUUUUCUGCGUCCAGGAUUAGCCUAAAUCCUUUGGGAUAAGGUAUCAUGGAGGGUGAGAAUCCCGUUCAUGGUUAAUCUUAAGGAUGCUCUACGAUACGUUCUCCAAGAGUCGAGUUGUUUGGGAUUGCAGCUCAAAAUGGGAGGUAAAUUUCUCCUAAGGCUAAAUAUUGGCGAGAGACCGAUAGCGAACAAGUACCGUGAGGGAAAGAUGAAAAGAACUUUGAAAAGAGAGUUAAACAGUACGUGAAAUUGUUGAAAGGGAAACGAUUGAAGUCAGUCAUACCAACGGGAAAUCAACCUCUUGAGUUUGGUCUCGUGGGUUUCGAAGAGUUUAAAAGCCUUCGGAUUUUCGAGAUUGGGCUCUUCUGGUGUACUUUCUCGUACGGUUAGUCAACAUCGGUUUUGAAUGUCAUAAAAUGACUGGAGGAAUGUGGCUUCGAUCUCGUAUUGAAGUGUUAUAACCUUUGGUAGAUGUGAUGUUUGAGACCGAGGAUUGCAACGGAUACCCUUCUGGGCUAUUCGUCUGAUCUCUGAAACGUUGCCUUGAUGUCGAAAGCUUGCUUAUGAUGCUAGGGUAAUACGGUCAAAAGGUUAGAACGGAUUAAAUUCGUUAAGGAUGUUGACGUAAUGACUUUAAACGACCCGUCUUGAAACACGGACCA
rnacentral:rRNA from 1 species